rnacentral:rRNA from 1 species
CGAACGGUGGGAGCAAUGUCAUAUUGGGGCACGGGUGCGUAACACGUAACUAUCCUACCCCCAACUGUGGGAUAUCCCGCCGAAAGGCGGAUUAAUACCGCAUAAGCUUUUUGUGCGCGAUCUGCUGAUGAGGAAAGAUUUAUUGGGUGUGGAUGGGGUUGCGGGUCAUUAUCUAUAUGGGUGGGUAACGCCUGCCCCCGGCGACAAUGACUAUGGGAGCUGAGAGGCUGUGCCCCCCCACGCGCACUGAGAUACGCGCCCCACUCCUACGCGAGGCAGCAGUAGGGAAUAUUGGGCAAUGGGCGAGAGCCUGACCCCCCCAUGCCGCGUGCAGGACAGAAGGCUUUCUGAAUCUUAAACUGUUUUUGUCGGGGAAAAAUAAGCACUAUAUGUAGUGUGAUGACGGUACCCGCAGAAUAAACACCGGCUAACUCCGUGCCAGCAGCCGCGGUAAUACGGAGGGGGCGAGCGUUGUCCGGAUUUAUUGGGUUUAAAGGGUGCGUAGGCGGCUCUAUAAGUCCGGGGUGAAAGCCCGUUGCUCAACAACGGAACUGCCCUGGAUACUGUGGAGCUUGAGUACAGACGAGGUUGGCGGAAUGGACCGAGUAGCGGUGAAAUGCAUAGAUACGGUCCAGAACCCCGAUUGCGAAGGCAGCUGACUAGGCUGUUACUGACGCUGAGGCACGACAGCGUGGGGAGCGAACAGGAUUAGAUACCCUGUGUAGUCCACGCCGUAAACGAUGGAUACUCGCUGCGGGCUAAAGAUUGUCCGUGGCUUAUGGGAAACCGCUAAGUAUCCCACCUGGGGAGUACGCCGGCAACGGUGAAACUCAAAGGGAAUUUGACGGCGGGCCCGCACAAGAUGGUGGAGCAUGUGGUUUAAUUCGAUGAUACGCGAGGAACCUUACCUAGGCUAGAAUGCGCGUGACCGGCUCAGAGAUGAGUUUUUCCUUCGGGACACAAAGCAAGGUGCUGCAUGGCCGUCGUCAGCUCGUGCCGUGAGGUGUUGGGUUAAGUCCCGCAACGAGCGCAACCCCUAUGGUUAGUUGCCAGCACGUAAAGGUGGGGACUCUAGCCAGACUGCCUGCGCAAGCAGUGAGGAAGGCGGGGACGACGUCAGGUCAUCAUGGCCCUUACGCCUAGGGCGACACACGUGCUACAAUGGACGGUACAGCGGGUAGCUACUGGGCGACCAGAUGCCAAUCUCGAAAAGCCGUUCUCAGUUCGGAUCGGAGUCUGCAACUCGACUCCGUGAAGCUGGAAUCACUAGUAAUCGCGCAUCAGCCAUGGCGCGGUGAAUACGUUCCCGGGCCUUGUACACACCGCCCGUCAAGCCAUGAAAGUCUGGUAGACCUGAAGCUGGUGCUCGUCA